rnacentral:rRNA from 1 species
UGGGGGAUAUUGCACAAUGGGCGAAAGCCUGAUGCAGCGACGCCGCGUGGGGGAUGAAGGCUUUCGGGUUGUAAACCUCUUUCGCUAUCGAACAAGGCCCGCUUAGGGUGGGUUGAGGGUAGGUGGAGAAGAAGCGCCGGCUAACUACGUGCCAGCAGCCGCGGUAAUACGUAGGGCGCGAGCGUUGUCCGGAAUUAUUGGGCGUAAAGGGCUUGUAGGCGGCUUGUUGCGCCUGCUGUGAAAACACGGGGCUUAACUUCGCGCGUGCAGUGGGUACGGGCAGGCUUGAGUGUGGUAGGGGUGACUGGAAUUCCAGGUGUAGCGGUGGAAUGCGCAGAUAUCUGGAGGAACACCGAUGGCGAAGGCAGGUCACUGAGCCAUUACUGACGCUGAGGGGCGAAAGCAUGGGUAGCGAACAGG